rnacentral:rRNA from 1 species
GGCUUCGCAAGGCCAGAGGCCGUCGCCGGGUCCCCUGCGAUCAAGAAACCAAAGUGGUUUCCAAGCAUUGUUGAACGGUAUCUUAUUCUGAAUACAUAGGGAUAAGAAGCGAACGCAGGGAACUGAAACAUCUAAGUACCUGCAGGAAAGGACAUCAACCGAGACUCCCCAAGUAGUGGCGAGCGAACGCGGACCAGGCCAGUGGCAAUGAGGAAUAAAGUGGAACGAUCUGGAAAGUUCGGCCGUAGGGGGUGAUACCCCCCUACACAUACAACACUCUUUGUCCUUGGGUGGGGCGGGACAUUCUUUAUCCAGUUGGGGGNNAAUGUAUCAACACCNU